GGCUGAUGGGCACCGCGUCGGGGGAGCAACUGCUCGUGGAGCAGCGCUACGCGGUCCCAUGGAGCUCGGCUGCACGGUCCCAUGGAGCUCGCGCCGCCAAUGCCGGGGAGCAGACGCCGCUAGGGCCGCGCGCCGAGGGCCCACUGAGUUUGCGCCGACGGAGUCGCGUGCUCCUAGGACCGGCCCAUAAUCCUCAGCUGUCUACCCGCUGCAUUGCCGGCGCCCUCCCAGCCCACCAUCGUGAUGUUGUUGGUGGCGGAAGCGGCUCAUCACCUCGUUCUCCUCCUUACUCUGCUCGUUCUCGAAGACCGCUAACUGCUCGCGAAGGAGGCACGGUGUUCACGCUGGCGCCAUACAUGGCACACGCGACUGAAGCAUGAAAACAAGGCCAGCGCUGCAGCACCCCGGCUCCCCUUUACCAACUUUCACAGCAUGGACCCUGCCAGCCAGUGCUAUGACAGCGUGAGCAGCAAAAAGAUUGGCAACGUCCCGCAGUUGCUCGACGAAAUGCCUCUAAGGCAAGCUGUUCACUGAAGCAACACUAUUCAACAAAGAUUAUUGCUGCUGCAAGUCAUCUUCUCUAUUUUCCUGAAUCCCAGGAUUAUACUGUGGGUCGCUAUCAACAAGUCCACAUCUAGCUUCAACUUACCCAUAAGGGGGUUGAUAUACAGCUUGGAGCGUUGGACUGGCAAUUGAUAACCCAAAGGCAACAUUAGCAGUACAAUGAUGCUUAGCUUACGAGAUGAUCAAGUGCUGAAAACAUGUCUUUAUCAGUCCUAUCAUCAGGCCUCAAGCAUCUACCAAACAAUCUUGUUCACCUGUAUAUGUGAGCUGUUAUUCAACAUGUUAAGAUUAGCAAUCCAGAGCUACCUUUGUCAGGUAGAUGAGGGCAAAAACACUCUCUAUUUGUAAAAUGGGAAUACGUUGAAGCGAAGGUGAGCACACGACCUUAUUCUCUUUCUUUAAUCAUUUUGAUUUCUAAAUUGCAUUUACAAGCAUUGUUAAGCAUCUUAAAUUAGUUUCUAGACAGAGCACACAUAUUUUCUCUGGUGCGUAAUUAUCCUGUUUUCACAAAUUGAUUUUUGAUAGAGAAAGACUGAGAAAUCCCAAGAAAUGCCCAUAACUGCUCUGCAAGCUAAUAUUCUGCCCUCUAUAUCAUGCAAAUAUUUAAUACAGAUAUUAAACUCAACUGCUUGUUUACUUUGAUGAAGCCCAGCUCCUUUUUGGAACCAUUAAAUAUCACUUGGGCAUGAUCCGAAAAGAUAAA